rnacentral:tRNA from 1 species
AACUAAUGAGCUUGAACAAGCAUAUAUUUUGAAAAUAUAAGAUAGAAUUUUUCUAUUAGUUU